rnacentral:rRNA from 1 species
ACCUGACUGCUAUCGGAUUGAUACUAAGCCAUGCGAGUCUUUGUAGUAAUACAAGGCAGACGGCUCAGUAACACGUAGUCAACCUACCCUAUGGACGAGAAUAAUCUCGGGAAACUGAGCAUAAUUCUUGAUAGAUCAUAAUGCCUGGAAUGGUUUAUGGUUAAAAUGAUUCGUCGCCAUAGGAUGGGACUGCGGCCUAUCAGCUUGUUGGUGGGGUAAUGGCCCACCAAGGCGAUUACAGGUACGGGCUCUGAGAGGAGAAGCCCGGAGAUGGGUACUGAGACAAGGACCCAGGCCCUAUGGGGCGCAGCAGGCGAGAAAACUUUGCAAUGUGCGAAAGCACGACAAGGUUAGUCCGAGUGAUUUCUGCUAAAGAGAUCUUUUGCUAGUUAUAAAACCACUAGUGAAUAAGGGGUGGGCAAGUUCUGGUGUCAGCCGCCGCGGUAAAACCAGCACCUCAAGUGGUCAGGAUGAUUAUUGGGCCUAAAGCAUCCGUAGCCGGCUCUGUAAGUUUUCGGUUAAAUCUAUGCGCUCAACGUAUGGGCUGCCGAAAAUACUGUAGAGAUAGGGAGUGGGAGAGGUAGACGGUACUCGGUAGGAAGGGGUAAAAUCCUUUGAUCUAUCGAUGACCACCUGUGGCGAAGGCGGUCUACCAGAACACGUUCGACGGUGAGGGAUGAAAGCUGGGGGAGCAAACCGGAUUAGAUACCCGGGUAGUCCCAGCUGUAAACGAUGCAGACUCGAUGAUGCAUUGGCAUAUAGCCAGUGCAGUGUCGCAGGGAAGCCGUUAAGUCUGCCGCCUGGGAAGUACGUACGCAAGUAUGAAACUUAAAGGAAUUGGCGGGGGAGCACCACAAGGGGUGAAGCCUGCGGUUC